rnacentral:lncRNA from 1 species
CACUCUGUUGGUGCAGAGGCAGCAGCGUUGGAAACCAGGUGCUCCAGAGGACAGUGGCUAUACCGUUUGGUCCGUGCGCAGUGGGACUCGAGAAACACUGACAUAGUUGAAGACCCCAGACCCCUCUUCCCCAUAAGGAAAAUACUGUCAAGAUCCGGGACAUUCCUCAGCCUAAGCCAAGCAGUCCAGAUCCACUCAUCUGCACCCCCUGCCAGCAGCUGCCUGUGACCAGCUCACCCCGAGGACACUGG